AUAGCUAUUUUAUUACUCUGAAUGUUUAGAACAGAGAAACAUCACUAUCAAUAGCUUCCAUCAACCAUGAAGUUACAAAUUCACAUACAUCGGAUACAAUUCCAUCAAAUUUACAUACAUGAAUCAAAAGAGAAUGAAAACAGAGGCGCAACAUCUAAAAACACUAGUGCAUCAACUAAAUAUUCACAGCGUGAGACCUCUUUUCAUAAUGUUUGGUUACAGCUUAAGUUGCAAGCUUCUCUUCAAGGUUACCCUGCAGUGGACGUAAAUGAACUUGUACAAAAGUGCAAGUGUCUCGCAUAAAAAAAAGUGCAAGUGUCAACACUUCGAUACAAAAAGGUGACAACAAACAGGAACAAUAUCUAUAAGAUAUAAUAAGCAUAAUCGAUCUGAUAUCUCAGUUUCUCGCAAUAACAGUGGCAUAUAUACACAACUUGUUUUUGUCACAGCAAAGUUACCCAAUUUUACAGCUAUAUGGAAAAAAUAAUGGAGUAAUUUGUGAUAGAAUCAUAUCUCAGAUUUAUACAAACCAUGCAACUGAAAAAAUCCAUUCAAAUGACAACCUAAUCACAUGCUUCUGGAUUAGUUAGAAAUAUUUAUCAGCUAACAGUCUGGAUUGAUGAGAUAUUAGAGGCUUCUUGCAAGUCAGGCUCAAAUCACAGUACCAAUGUCAAUACUCUUAAGUGCAAGUGCUCAAUGAUGCAUCACCACAAAAUUGUAUGGUAAGAAAAUAACAAGGAGUUAAGUCUAACCAUUUCAGAUGUUCGAGAAAAAUGGGCAGAGUCAUCAUCAUCUCCAUAACAGUAAAAACCAAAGGAUUAUGCAAUUAUUCAAUAAUGUAACAACAGGGAACAGUACCUCUUUAUUCAGAAGAAUAAGUAGAAUUUCUUGCCUUUAUUGAUAACCUUAACGUCCUGCUUCAGCCUCCUUAUUGUGCUGAUCCUAUUCCGUGUAAUUUCCAUGCAACAGAUCAUUGGUCCCUAAAUCAUAACAUAAUGAAAGAGCAUGAAACCAAAAGGAUCAUUGGUCCCUAAAUCAUAACAUAAUGAAAGAGCAUGAAACCAAAAGGAUCAUUGGUGAGACAAUAAUACAUUUUUACAGUACUGCAUGGUGAGACAAUAAAGGGCCCCAAAGAAAUAGAAAGGGGUAGUUUGCAGAUUAAACCAACAUAGCAGCUACUGGCUCAAUAAUGUUGAUCUGAGGAUGUUGGGCACACUGAACACAGCACGGUAUGUUUUAAUAUACACAAGGCAACUUGAUUUGAUAAUUAUUAAUGAUACAAGUUUGGAGACCAGGGUGAAAGCAAAAGUAAAAAUACCUUGAUAAGAACAAAAGCUCUUGCAUCUCUCGUAGAUCCCGAAUCUUGAAUUUUGCUCCUACUCAAGAUGGAUUGCAAACUAAAAAAAUCAGACCUCAAAUAGGUAUUAACCAAUAUUUAAUUUAUAGGUUGAUGUGCAUACAACAACAAAAUAUGGAAGGGAAUAGUACCACUUCAUUUGGAAGAAUAUUAUUCAAUUUCUUACAUUGAGUGAUAACGUGUGAUGUUUGUUCAAUUCUUCCUAAAUCAAAAAAUAAUGAAAGAGAUUAAAUCAAAGGGUAUGGACAAACAAAUUAGAGAGCAAAACUGUUACAUACUCGAUAGUCAGACAAUAAAAAAAUCAUAAGGAAAUAGAAUGGAAAGUAACAUUAGGAGUUUAAGACUGAACAAAUGUAGCAGCUAUUGGCUCAAAACAGACCAGAUGAUCUUGAGCAUACUAGACAUCGAAUGUUAUUGUAAUAUAUAGGAGAAAACAUGCCAUACAAUUAUUCAUGAUAAAUUUUGGAAGGGUGAAAGCACAAGUAAAAAACCUUAUGCACCGUCUGUACCAACACAAGACAAAAAAAUAGUUUAUGUAUAGAACCUGCUAAUGUCUUUUUCAUGAUUCUUAUUUACUGCUCGAUCUUGAGAAAAUUAACUGAGAAACCAAUGUUCGCUGUUACUUCUUACUCUAGUUUCAACUUCCGGUUACAUGUUGAUACACAAAAUACAAAUAUUGGAAGGGGUGACCCACAAUUACAAAACCAGAAAAGAAGAUAUGCAGA
rnacentral:lncRNA from 1 species